GAUGAACGCUGGCGGCGUGCUUAACACAUGCAAGUCGAACGGAAAGGCGAGGAUCUUGCUGGUCGCACGUGAGCGGCGGGCGGGUGAGACACACGAGGAUACCCUACCUAUAAGACUGGGAUAACUACGGGAAACCGGAUAUAACACCGGAUAAUAUCUUGAACCGCAGGGUUCAUUGGAGAAAGACGGCUUUGCUGUCUCGUAUAGAGGGUUCCGGGCCGGAUUGGCUAGUUGGUACGGUAACGGCUUACGAAGGCGACGAUGCGUAGCCGACCUGAGAGGAUGAUAGGCCACACUGGAACUGAGACACGGUCCAGACUCCUACGGGAGGCAGCAGUAGGGAAUUUUAGGCAAUGGGCGAAAGCCUGACGCAGCAACGCCGCGUGUGUGAUGAAGGCCUUCGGAUCGUAAAGCUCUGUUAUUGGGGACGAACAGAUGUGUACGUAAACAAGGAGGUGUUGACGGUACCUGCUCAAAAAGCACCGGCUAACUACGUG
rnacentral:rRNA from 1 species